ACGCAAAUCUAACCAGGAUCGAGUAACAAACCCCACAUAAAACCUCUGUGGUGUAAGUAUGACGCGUUAAGAAAAUCACAUUUGGUGUUAAAUGAGUAGUAUAAACGGCCGUGAAGGUUACAAAUAUGAUGUUAAUUGUCUUCUAAUUGUUGAAAUUAUAAUUCUUAAAAUUUUAAAUCAAAAGUUACCCACAUCUGAAAUAAAGUUACGGACAGUCUGCUUAGUUUCAAUUAAAAAGUUACGGACGUCUUGUGCAUUUUUUAAAGUUGGCCUUGCGCUUUAGUGAACUCUAUAUUAACAAAUUUAUGGUAAUUGUUAGUUAUUUAUUUAUUCAAUAAUUCUAUAAAUAUUUACAUUCUGCAUGAUAAACGUAUCAAAAGGUACAUUUUGUAUGAAUUAAAUAUCAACGAGUUUAGAGUCCGCCAUCUUGGGCUGUGGGUAACUUAAGU
rnacentral:lncRNA from 1 species